ACGCUGGCGGCACGCCUAACACAUGCAAGUCGAACGAAGUAGCAAUACUUAGUGGCAAACGGGUGAGUAUGAUGUGGGUAUCUGCCCUUUGGUAUGGAAUAACACGAGGAAACUUGUGCUAAUACUGUAUAAGCCUUCACAGGGAAAGCUUUAUGCGCCGAAGGAUGAGCUCGCACUUGAUUAGCUAGUUGGUAAGGUAAUAGCUUACCAAGGCAACGAUCAAUAGCUGAUCUGAGAGGAUGAUCAGCCACAUUGGGACUGAGACACGGCCCAAACUCCUACGGGAGGCAGCAGUGGGGAAUCUUGCACAAUGGGGGAAACCCUGAUGCAGCGAUGCCGCGUGAGUGAAGAAGGCCUUUGGGUUGUAAAGCUCUUUCGUCGGGGAAGAAAAUGACUGUACCCGAAUAAGAAGGUCCGGCUAACUUCGUGCCAGCAGCCGCGGUAAUACGAAGGGACCUAGCGUAGUUCGGAAUUACUGGGCUUAAAGAGCUCGUAGGUGGUUAGAAAAGUUAGUGGUGAAAUCCCAAGGCUUAACCUUGGAACUGCUACUAAAACUUUUUAACUAGAGUAUGGUAGAGGUAAGCGGAAUUUCUAGUGUAGAGGUGAAAUUCGUAGAUAUUAGAAAGAACACCAAUUGCGAAGGCAGCUUUCUGGAUCAUUACUGACACUGAGGAGCGAAAGCAUGGGUAGCGAAGAGGAUUAGAUACCCUCGUAGUCCAUGCUGUAAACGAUGUGUGCUAGACGUUGGAAAUUUAUUUUUCAGUGUCGCAGCAAAAGCGUUAAGCACACCGCCUGGGGAGUACGACCGCAAGGUUAAAACUCAAAUGAAUUGACGGGGACCCGCACAAGUAGUGGAGCAUGUGGUUUAAUUCGAAGAUACGCGCAGAACCUUACCAACACUUGACAUGUUUGUCGCGACUCUAAGAGAUUAGAGUCUUCGGUUCGGCCGGACAAAACACAGGUGCUGCAUGGCUGUCGUCAGCUCGUGUCGUGAGAUGUUGGGUUAAGUCCCGCAACGAGCGCAACCCUUACUUUUAGUUGCCAUCAUUUAGUUGGGCACUCUAAAAGAACUGCCAGUGAUAAGCUGGAGGAAGGUGGGGAUGACGUCAAGUCCUCAUGGCCCUUACGUGUUGGGCUACACACGUGCUACAAUGGUACUUACAAUGAGAUGCAAAGAGGCGACUCUAAGCUAAUCCCAAAAAGGUACCUCAGUUCGGAUUGUACUCUGCAACUCGAGUACAUGAAGCUGGAAUUACUAGUAAUCGUGGAUCAGCGCGCCACGGUGAAUACGUUCCCGGGUCUUGUACACACCGCCCGUCACACCAUGGAAGUUGGUUACACCUUAAGGCAAAGCUUAAAACCUUUGACUACGGUACGAUCAGCGACUGGGGUGAAGUCGUAACAAGGUAGCCGUAGGGGAACCUGCGGCUGGAUCACCUCCUUUCU
rnacentral:rRNA from 1 species